rnacentral:rRNA from 1 species
GACGAACGCUGGCGGCGUGCUUAACACAUGCAAGUCGAACGGAAAGGCCCUGCUUUUGUGGGGUGCUCGAGUGGCGAACGGGUGAGUAACACGUGAGUAACCUGCCCUUGACUUUGGGAUAACUUCAGGAAACUGGGGCUAAUACCGGAUAGGAGCUCCUGCUGCAUGGUGGGGGUUGGAAAGUUUCGGCGGUUGGGGAUGGACUCGCGGCUUAUCAGCUUGUUGGUGGGGUAGUGGCUUACCAAGGCUUUGACGGGUAGCCGGCCUGUGAGGGUGACCGGACACAUUGGGACUGAGAUACGGCCCAGACUCCUACGGGAGGCAGCAGUGGGGAAUAUUGCACAAUGGGCGGAAGCCUGAUGCAGCAACGCCGCGUGCGGGAUGACGGCCUUCGGGUUGUAAACCGCUUUCGCCUGUGACGAAGCGUGAGUGACGGUAAUGGGUAAAGAAGCACCGGCUAACUACGUG